CACGUAGGGCGCAAGCGUUGUCCGGAAUUAUUGGGCGUAAAGAGCUCGUAGGCGGUCUGUUACGUCUGCUGUGAAAACCCAGGGCUUAACCCUGGGCUUGCAGUGGAUACGGGCAGACUAGAGGCAGGUAGGGGAGAAUGGAAUUCCCGGUGUAGCGGUGAAAUGCGCAGAUAUCGGGAGGAACACCGGUGGCGAAGGCGGUUCUCUGGGCCUUACCUGACGCUGAGGAGCGAAAGCAUGGGGAGCAAACAGG
rnacentral:rRNA from 1 species